UCAUUUAGUGGCGCACGGGUGAGUAACGCGUAGAUAAUCUGCCUUGGACUCUGGGAUAACAUCUCGAAAGGGGUGCUAAUACCGGAUAAGCCCACGAUGGCGUAAGUCAUUGCGGGAAAAGGGGGCCUCUGAAUAUGCUCCUGAUUCAAGAUGAGUCUGCGUACCAUUAGCUAGUUGGUAGGGUAAGAGCCUACCAAGGCGACGAUGGUUAGCUGGUCUGAGAGGAUGAUCAGCCACACUGGAACUGAGACACGGUCCAGACUCCUACGGGAGGCAGCAGUGGGGAAUUUUGCGCAAUGGGGGAAACCCUGACGCAGCAACGCCGCGUGAGUGAUGAAGGCUUUCGGGUCGUAAAGCUCUGUCUAGAGGGAAGAAAUGAUAAUCGGUUAAUACCCGGUUUUCUUGACGGUACCUCYUGAAGGAAGCACCGGCUAACUCCGUGCCAGCAGCCGCGGUAAUACGGAGGG
rnacentral:rRNA from 1 species